GAGGGUAUAGCUCAGUGGUAGAGCACAUGCUUAGCAUUCGUGAGGUCCUGGGUUCAAUCCCCAGUACCUCCA
rnacentral:tRNA from 1 species